GAGACCAGGGAAUUUUCUUAAGAAGACAAAUUCUUGAGAAGAUUGGUGGGGUACCUGAAACCCUUUUGUUUGAGGACUUUAUCUUGGUGGAGAAGUUAAAACAGAUUGGCCAUGUAGCUAUAACUGACAGUGAGCCAGCUCGUACCUCAGCCAGAAGAUGGGAGGAAAAUGGUGUGAUUAAGACAACAGGCAGCAACUACCUGUUUGUAGUUGGUUACAAACUAGGCAUUCAUCCAGACACUCUGGCAGCAUGGUAUUAUGGAAAGUUUAAACCUGUUACACAACCACAGCAAACUUGAUCACUGAUAUUA